rnacentral:rRNA from 1 species
CUCAGAUUGAACGCUGGCGGCAUGCCUUACACAUGCAAGUCGAAUGGCAGCGGGCCUUCGGGUGCCGGCGAGUGGCGAACGGGUGAGUAAUGCAUCGGAACGUGCCAUUGAGUGGGGGAUAACGUAGCGAAAGUUACGCUAAUACCGCAUAUUCUGUGAGCAGGAAAGCAGGGGACCGCAAGGCCUUGCGCUCUUUGAGCGGCCGAUGUCAGAUUAGCUAGUUGGUGAGGUAAAGGCUUACCAAGGCGACGAUCUGUAGCGGGUCUGAGAGGAUGAUCCGCCACACUGGAACUGAGACACGGUCCAGACUCCUACGGGAGGCAGCAGUGGGGAAUUUUGGWAAAUGGGGGCAACCCUGAUCCRGCCAUGCCGCGUGAGKGAAGAAKGCYUUCSRKWUGUAAAGCUCUUUCGGCCGGGAAGAAAUCGCAUGGGCCAAUACCCUGUGUGGAUGACGGUACCGGAAUAMGAAGCACCGGCUAACUACGUGCCAGCAGYCGCGGUAAUACGUAGGGUGCGAGCGUUAAUCGGAAUUACUGGGCGUAAAGCGUGCGCAGGCGGUUUUGUAASACAGGCGUGAAAUCCCCGGGCUUAACCUGGGAACUGCGUUUGUGACUGCAAGGCUAGAGUACGGCAGAGGGGGGUGGAAUUCCACGUGUAGCAGUGAAAUGCGUAGAGAUGUGGAGGAACACCAAUGGCGAARGGCAGCCCCCUGGGUCGAUACUGACGCUCAUGCACGAAAGCGUGGGUAGCAAACAGGAUUAGAUACCCUGGKUAGUCCACGCCCUAAACUAUGUCAACUAGGUGUUGGGKGGGUAAAACCWUUUAGUACCGUAGCUAACGCGUGAAGUUGACCGCCUGGGGGAGUACGGCCSSCAUGUUAAAACUCAAAGGAAUUGACCGGGGACCCGCWCAAGCGGKGAUGAUGUGCAUUAUUYSAWKSAACSCGAAAACCUUACCUACCUUGACAKKCCAGGAACUUGCCARARAAUGGCUUGUGCCGGAAAGGGARCCCUGAACWAGGUGCUGCCAUGGCUGUCGUCYACCUCUGUMUGUAGWGGUUGGUAAUUCCSUAACGAAGSCACCCUGUCUGUUAUUUGCMCUAUUUAGUUGGGCMUUUUASAAAGACCYGCCGCGGGRUACMAACCGYCGUAG